rnacentral:rRNA from 1 species
AGAGUUUGAUCCUGGCUCAGAGCGAACGCUGGCGGCAGGCUUAACACAUGCAAGUCGAACGGGCGUAGCAAUACGUCAGUGGCAGACGGGUGAGUAACGCGUGGGAACGUACCUUUUGGUUCGGAACAACACAGGGAAACUUGUGCUAAUACCGGAUAAGCCCUUACGGGGAAAGAUUUAUCGCCGAAAGAUCGGCCCGCGUCUGAUUAGCUAGUUGGUGAGGUAACGGCUCACCAAGGCGACGAUCAGUAGCUGGUCUGAGAGGAUGAUCAGCCACAUUGGGACUGAGACACGGCCCAAACUCCUACGGGAGGCAGCAGUGGGGAAUAUUGGACAAUGGGCGCAAGCCUGAUCCAGCCAUGCCGCGAGGGUGAUGAAGGCCCUAGGGUUGUAAAGCUCUUUUGUGCGGGAAGA